rnacentral:rRNA from 1 species
CCUAGCGGCAGACGGGUGCGUAACAUGUGGGAAUCUGCCUUUUGGUUCGGAACAACACGGGGAAACCUGUGCUAAUACCGGAUAAGUCCUUACGGAGAAAGUUUUAAUGCCAAAAGAUGAGCCCGCACUUGAUUAGCUAGUUGGUAAGGUAAUGGCUUACCAAGGCAACGAUCAAUAGCUGGUCUGAGAGGACGAUCAGCCACACUGGAACUGAGACACGGCCCAAACUCC